rnacentral:rRNA from 1 species
GCUUUUGUGGUUUUGGAUGGACUCGCGGCCUAUCAGCUUGUUGGUGGGGUAAUGGCCUACCAAGGCGACGACGGGUAGCCGGCCUGAGAGGGUGACCGGCCACACUGGGACUGAGACACGGCCCAGACUCCUACGGGAGGCAGCAGUGGGGAAUAUUGCACAAUGGGCGCAAGCCUGAUGCAGCGACGCCGCGUGAGGGAUGACGGCCUUCGGGUUGUAAACCUCUUUCAGUAGGGAAGAAGCGAAAGUGACGGUACCUGCAGAAGAAGCGCCGGCUAACUACGUGCCAGCAGCCGCGGUAAUACGUAGGGCGCAAGCGUUAUCCGGAAUUAUUGGGCGUAAAGAGCUCGUAGGCGGUUUGUCGCGUCUGCUGUGAAAGACCGGGGCUCAACUCCGGUUCUGCAGUGGGUACGGGCAGACUAGAGUGCAGUAGGGGAGACUGGAAUUCCUGGUGUAGCGGUGAAAUGCGCAGAUAUCAGGAGGAACACCGAUGGCGAAGGCAGGUCUCUGGGCUGUAACUGACGCUGAGGAGCGAAAGCAUGGGGAGCGAACAGGAUUAGAUACCCUGGUAGUCCAUGCCGUAAACGUUGGGCACUAGGUGUGGGGGACAUUCCACGUUUUCCGCGCCGUAGCUAACGCAUUAAGUGCCCCGCCUGGGGAGUACGGCCGCAAGGCUAAAACUCAAAGGAAUUGACGGGGGCCCGCACAAGCGGCGGAGCAUGCGGAUUAAUUCGAUGCAACGCGAAGAACCUUACCAAGGCUUGACAUGAACCGGUAAUACCUGGAAACAGGUGCCCCGCUUGCGGUCGGUUUACAGGUGGUGCAUGGUUGUCGUCAGCUCGUGUCGUGAGAUGUUGGGUUAAGUCCCGCAACGAGCGCAACCCUCGUUCUAUGUUGCCAGCGCGUUAUGGCGGGGACUCAUAGGAGACUGCCGGGGUCAACUCGGAGGAAGGUGGGGACGACGUCAAAUCAUCAUGCCCCUUAUGUCUUGGGCUUCACGCAUGCUACAAUGGCCGGUACAAAGGGUUGCGAUACUGUGAGGUGGAGCUAAUCCCAAAAAGCCGGUCUCAGUUCGGAUUGGGGUCUGCAACUCGACCCCAUGAAGUCGGAGUCGCUAGUAAU